rnacentral:rRNA from 1 species
AUUCCAGUUCCAUAAGUGUAUAUUAAAGUUGUUGCAGUUGAAAAGCUCGUAGUUGGAGUAGAGUUGUUGUGAUGUUCGGGCAUGGGCGAAAGUCUAUGGUUGUUUGUCGUGGCAGCUGAUAUAAGGUAUAUGGUUGAUUCAUUUCAGCGAUAUACAGUUUACUAUUAAAAAUUAGAAAGUUUCAAUUAGAUUGUAAUUGGAUUUUUGAAUAGUCGAAGAAUGGUAUAAUAGAAUAGGAUUUUGGAAUCAGUUUGGAAUGUUAGAUGAUUUUGAGAUAAUGAUUAAUAGAGAUAGAUGGAGAUAUUUGUAUUUGAUGGCUAGAGAUGAAAUUCUUGGAUUCUUCAAAGACAGACUAAAGCGAAAGCAUUUAUCAAGUAUAUGCUCAUCA